GCAGCUGGAGGCUGCCUGUCUCCGGCAGGAGGGCGACACAGGGAGGGGAUGGCAGGGGCGGACAGGAGUCUGCAGACCUGGCUGCAAGGAGCGCAGUGGGCCCAGAGUUGGGGACCUCUGCAGGUGCUGGUGCUGUGGGUGGCAGGAAGCUGGAGAAGGGCCGGGGUUGUUCCUUACAGCUUCAGGCCGUCUCUGGCAGAGACCCAGACUUGGGACCAGCUCUGAUCCCGGUGCUAUGAGCAGCCAGCAGGUAAAUGCCCUCCUGACGGAGGCUCGCUCAGAAGGGCUCGGCACAUCCUGUCUCCAAGUAGCACAGUGGUUAAGGCCGUCAGUGCUGAGCCAGGUUCACAGGACUUCUGUUCCUGGCUCCUCUGCCGGUGAUUUCCUGACCUUAUGAAAUGUAUUCACCCGUUUUGCACCUCAAUCCUCUUAUCUGUAAAAAUGAGCAUGAGAAUAGACAUAGCUGAUAGGAUUGCCUCGAGAACCAUGGGGCCCCGUGCUAUUAAAAGGUGAGCGUUACUCACCUCAUAGUCACCAGCUGUCAUUAUUUUGAGCAUGGCAGCGAACCCUCCCUCAGAACAGGAAGCCACUGCCGCUGCAACAGGUAAUCAGGAGAUGCAGAGAGGCAAAGUGGAGAUCUCUCUGAUGAGGGACCCGGGGCCCAUUGCCGACUCCCCGAGAGCUCUGUGCACAGCCGGUGUGGACACUGCCCGCGAACACCGGCAUCUACUCACGCGCGGAGCUGGCCAAGGCCAAAGCAGGGGCACCAGGGAACCACAGCCCGAACCCAGGGCGGCCCUUCCUCCCUGUCUACUUGAUGUCUCUGCCACACUGAGGAAAAGCUGCCUGACACACGGUGACUCCCAUGGGAGCGGAGUUCUGGCUCCAUCAGCUUCUGAGCGUUACAUCGAUAAUGUCCUUGUCACCUCCCGGUCCCCGAUACCCACACCACAGGGAGGAGGAGAGGUUCAUCUCGGCUCACUUUCAGCUGGUCUUGUGGAGGAAGAGGGCCCCAAACCUGGCAGCCAGGAGCAGAGAGGAAGGGAGGCCCAGGACACAAACACCCCCCCAGGUCACACCCCAGUGCCCCCCACCAGGCCCUGUCUUCAGGAGUGAGCAUCGGGGAACAUAGUAGGUCUAAACUGUAACAGCAAGUUAUGUUUUUCACCCUCAUUUCCUCACUUUUAAGUUUCUGUUAACAGUUUAAAGUUGUAUUUUUCUUGUGAAAAACCUGUUUCGAAGUUAAAUAAUUGAUUACUUUCGAUAGGCUAAUACAAUCCCCCAAAGUUCAAGAGAAUAAAAGUGAAGAGUAAGUUUCCGGCCUUCCAGCUUCCUUUCCUAAAGGUAAGCACUGCUGCUGGUUCUCCCCAUCCUCCCAGAUGGACUCUAUUCGCGCAGGGACGCCUGCCUUUGUGUUUACGCUGUGCUUCUCUUGUUAUGCACGGAGAGCAGCUACACACACACACCAUUUCCGCCCUUUGCUCGAAGCAGCUCUCAGGGGCUGCACCCGGCGCCCCACCCACAGAGCGGGCUGCUGCAGUGUGAACCCCUGCCAGGAUUGAUGCCCCGGGCUCUGCAGCCUGGCGUGAGCGUACUCAUGGCUAGUGUCAGCGGAGCGGCUGCGUGCGGACAGAUGAUUUUAAAGUGCCAUCUGGAUUUUGUGUCACACUACCGCUUCUACACUAAGAUCGUGACUUCUCCCAUGCUCACCGAAGCACUUAGAACUUCCACACCUACCUGAUGCGGGGAGUAAGAGAAUUCAAUAGCUGAGCCCUAGAGGGAAGAGAGAACUUACAAUGAUCACGAAGGACACGGAGAAAGGCCCAGUCCGGCAGGGCUUCCACCUUGGGAGAGUCAGAGUGGGACGGCCUGGCCCUCAGGGCUCCUGGCAGGGGGUGAAUUCCCACCGCCCGGAGCUGGGCCAGAGUGAGGCCCUGUCCUGGGGAUGGACCAGAGGACAGUGCCGGCCUGGGGGACGCGCAGGCCCAGCAGACAGUCUUGUCCCACGGUGGGAUUUAGGACUCAGUUUCUGCAUUCCAAAGCCCUAAGUUCCGGUUCCCAUGCUCCUCAAGGGCCUUUCUGGGUGCUGGGGGCACUGCAACCCUCACGAGCCAGAGGUGGUCUUACAGUGACUGUGUGCAGCUGUAGGACAGCGUCGGAGAGACCGAGUUAGGAUCAGAGGCUCCAGCUUUCCAACUAUCCUUGUGGCUAUUUUAGAAGGGGGGCUGUUGUGACAGCCAUGUGGCAGGUCAGUUGUUACCGUGGGGGGUGUGUGUGUGAUCCAAGUGUGGCAUCUGUACAGAAAGCUGUGCCAGUCAUGAGCACACCCCCAGGUGGCCGCCCCGAUCCCUCCCUGCUACUAGGUGGCCCCACGCUCGACUUGGUUCACACGGCCUGUUGCUGUCCAUGCCGGCAGCAUCCAGGCUGCCUCGAGCUGUGGUGGCAGCGAUGUGGCCACGCACUCCCACCUGCGGGCCACAGCAUCCCCAACUCUGCUGUUGCCGUCAGCUUGGGCCCUUCGGCUUUUAUCUUGCAUGGUGUUCUGUGGAUAUUCCUGUACGUGGCUUCUGUGAGCCUGUUUUUGCAUUUCUAACAGGGCCAUGCCUAGGAGUGCACUAGUUGGUAAUGGGGCACACCCAUGUCCCCAUUUGGAGGCGACUGUCGAGAGCCCGCUGUGGUGUCCUUUCACUGACCUGAAAGGCAGCCACUGAAACAAGUAUUUGGCUGCUUACUCCUCAGUCAAACCAAGCAUUUUUACUGCAUAGGGCUCUUUACUUAAGUGGCCAUAAAAUGCAUACCAUGUCUGUGAGCAUCACGUUUCUUCUGGAGUGUGGUGUUUACACAUCCUGACAACUGAUACCUGUCAAGAAGAGGGUUCUACGCCACCGCUGUCUUGCAUAAUUAUGAGAAAGCUCAGCAUACCAUGUCUGUGAGCAUCACGUUUCUUCUGGAGUGUGGUGUUUACACAUCCUGACAACUGAUACCUGUCAAGAACAGGGUUCUACGCCACCGCUGUCUUGCAUAAUUAUGAGAAAGCUCACAGAAUAGCAUCCUGAUGGGCUUAUGAAGAAAAGCAGCCUAGUAUUUCGGUGAUUAAAGUUGCAUUUAGGGCUGGGGUGUGGCUCAGGGGUAGUGCACUUGCUGAGCAUGCACAAGGCCCUGGGUUUGAUCUGCAGCAUGGAAAAAAAUGCAUCUAAGUAACUGUGCUAAGUAACUGCACAGAUUUACCACUUGGAAGACUGCGCUGUUCCUCUCUACUGGUAGAAACUAGAUGAAGACUUGAAAACUGCCUCUAAAAUGAAAGAGUCAUUCCUCCCUUCAUUCAACCAAAGAUUUAGGAUUUCUUUGGCCUAUGUACUGUGCUUCUAGGCUGGGAAGGAGAAGGAAAAAUUAACAGAAGAACUCAGUUUUAGCACUCUUGGUUUUCAUAUCUGCAAAGGGUUGAGCCAAGUGCCCAGAGUGUUAUGAAACGCAGUUAAAGUGUCAAGAGAGGACUGAGUCAAGUACGCUGGUGAUCCCGGCGAGAGGAAUUUCUAGCUUGAAGAAUUUGCUGUGACGCCCUGGGCCUCAGGGCAGCUGGACAGAUGCAGCGGCCUGGGAGCUGACCUGGUCCUGGCACAGCUGGCGCUGUCGGGCACCCCCCUGCUGCCCUGGUGCACCGUAAGGUGUCAAGGGAGCCAGUGCUCACCCGGGCGGCUGAGGGACUCAGGGACGGGUGAGGCACAGCUGGGACACCGUGUCCUGCAGCUGGAGAGCGGCAUGGACCAGUCUCAGUUCCCUCAGGCCCUCCAGGGCUUUGCAGGUUUUCACCAACGGGCAGAGAGGGUAGCUGAUGUCCAGACACUUGCGUCCUGACACAGACACUUAAAACAGCGUUACAAGGUGGGAAGAAGAGAGAAAGAAGAGGUGCACACCUGUGCGAGUUACAUGUUAGGUCCAUUGUGGGUGGAAGGAAAGAGUGGUACCUCAGAGACACCCACUCGGGCCUCUGCUCUGUCCUUGGCACUAAUGUGAAUCUCUACAGGGCUAUGGUGUGUCGCCGGGGUGUGUGUGUACCUGUGUGUGUGUGUGUGUACGUGUGCGUGUUUCUCCUAAGAAAACUCUAGACGUUGCAGUAGAAAUCCCUGUACCAUCCCUCCCAAGUGCUGGAGCACAAGCUUGUCAUGCUUGGACCCCAAGGCCCGAGGCCAUUUGAGCGGAAAACCCGAGGAUGGAUGCAGACAGGGCUCAGGCUGGAUGCCCACUUUCAGGGCCUUGGCAGGUUGGUGCCUGGCACGGGCGGCUGGCACGAGGCGUUGGGGACAGAUGAUUCGUGCCUGGAGUGCAAAGUUUCAGAGCUAAGUGUUGAUCCAUGACGACUUAGGAAAACCACUGGGCUCCGCUGUUCUGGAAAACAAACACAGGCAGCCCUUGUGCUCCAAGGCGAGAG